ensembl:lncRNA
CCCUUAUAACUGGCUCUCUUCAUGGUUCUCUUAAAAUUUAGGCCUCCCUUGCGAGACGAGAAUCUUCACCAUCUGAAUCAUGAGUGCCGGUGCCCGUCGUCAGUCCCUUCUCUCUCCGUUACUGGACCUGGAUCUGGAUCUCGAUCUGGACACUCAUUACCAGCUUGUGCAUCUCACUGCUGAUAUCAUGAUGCUACUUAACUAUCUUCGCAGCACCCGCUCUAGGAAUGGAGAUCCGGGGUUCCCCCCUCUUCUUCGAUACAGAAUCUGCCUACAGCAUCUACAGCAAUCUACAGCAAAUGGUUCGGCAGUGAUUUGGUUCAACCUACUAAAGAGUGGAGAAGCGGAUACCAGAACUUUGCAUGCUGCAUGCCCAGUUUUUGUAGGCAGUACGUGGGGUAAGUUUCCAGUAAGC